rnacentral:rRNA from 1 species
UGGCGGCACUAGCGCGGUGGUCCCACCUGACCCCAUGCCGAACUCAGAAGUGAAACGCCGUAGCGCCGGAUGGUAGUGUGGGGUCUCCCCAUGCGAGAGUAGGGAACUGCCAGGCA